ensembl:lncRNA
GAAAGCCCCGACUGCUCGAGGACUGAGGUAUUCCACUACUUAGCAGCAAACUUCUUUUUAAUGAAAUACCAUCUGACAAACUGCCUUUAAGAAUUGUUUAUGAGAAGAAGAAAAGAAGAUUGAAAUACCAGUCAUCUGUAGCAAAGGGACUGAUGCUACUGUCUCUACCCUCCUGCUCCUGUGCUGAGUGCCUUUUAAAGUCCAAGAACAAGCAGGACUUGGAAGACCGUUCAGAUUAAUCUCCAUCUUCUCCACUUCAUCAUUUCCUUCUUAUGCAGAUCCCACUGAACUCAUCUGGCAUCAAGGAGUUUGGAAGAAGAAGAAACCACUUGUGCGUACGGUGACAUGGGGAUCAGCAAGCAGUACUGCAUCUGCUACAGCCCCACGGCUUCUUUCACAUGCUGUAACUAUUGGGUUGGAGGGCAACACCAUCCGCCUUCGAGCUGACCCCUGAGUUUUGAACACCAUAUGGUGUUCAAAGAAGCAGAAGAAGCAGAAGAGGAAAGUGAUUUUCUCUCGUGUAAAUUAGUGGUGUGGAGAUUGGGAAAAUCUAGCCUUGCAGUUUUGAGACGUUUAUAAACAAACAAUAAUGAAAGAAUGAAAGCCAGAGAAGAGAAAAAGUAAUCUAUGAGGCAAACAACAUUGUCGGUGAUAGGUAUUUGUUUUUCCAUUCAUAAUGCCUGAAGUACUUGUAAUAUACAAUAUCCUGCAAACUGUUCUUGUUUUGCUUUUCCCAAAAGCAUGCCAGACUCGGGACAAAGCUCUGUGAAGAAAUAUUGUACUGUAUUUGUUUUUAAAAAUGCCAUUGAUUGGAGAACAGAAACUACCCUUCCCAUCUUCUGUUUGUUUGUCUGAGAAAUUCUAGUUUCUAUUUGCAGUGACUUUUUCUAUUCUUUCAAAAUUGCCAAACAUCGGAGGGAAAAAAAAAAAAAAGGAUUUUAAAGUGAAAGUAUUGAUUAAACAAAGAAUUUGCUCUUCCCUUCAUUGCUGAGUGUAUUUUUGGAAAUAAUUUUGAGCAGAAUAGCUACCAGUAUUUGAAAGGAACAUCUGCAGUUCAUCUAGCAACUGGCUCUCCAAACGCUCCCAUGUGUGCAU